GGGGAUGACGUCAAAUCAUCAUGCCCCCUUAUGACCUGGGCUACACACGUGCUACAAUGGUUGGUACAACGAGUUGCGAGUCGGUGACGGCGAGCUAAUCUCUUAAAGCCAAUCUCAGUUCGGAUUGUAGGCUGCAACUCGCCUACAUGAAGUCGGAAUCGCUAGUAAUCGCGGAUCAGCACGCCGCGGUGAAUACGUUCUCGGGGUUU
rnacentral:rRNA from 1 species